rnacentral:lncRNA from 1 species
CUGCUGGAGUCCAUGAGCGUCUCGAGGAUUUGGGGGAGCCCCCGUACACUUGUCCCUCUUCAUGGGGACAGCAAUGUGAGUUCCUCCAGGUGGAAGUCCGUUUUCAGGCAGUGAGUCUCCAAGAGAUUUCACACAACCUUGUGGGGAACGGGGCUGUGGGACCAUGCAUGGCCCAGACGGGGCCCUAGAAACAAGCUAAGAAGAGAGACCUGGUGGUCCGGCGGUGGAACUGGGACAAUGGAGUGGAACGUCCAACCAUGCCAGGAGGAUCCAUGUGCUCAUAAGCAAUGGGAGUGAAUGAAGAGCCAGGCCCAGCAACAGAGGGGAGCCUGCCCACAUGGAGCAAAAGGAGCCGGACACCAGAUUCACCCACGGCGCGAUCCCGGUGACGGAGGCAGUGUGAGCAGGCAGGCGGCGGCCACUCUGGGGAAGGGAGAAGGAAUGAGGGUGAGAGGGGCACAGAGGGCCUCCAGGGA